UCUAACGCAUCAUAUUCAAUUGUUUUAUACAUUUAAGUGAUUAAACAUUCUGCUCGAAAUUCAUGUUAAAAUCAAAAAGGAUAUUUGUGUCUUUUAUAGUUCGUUACAAUUAAGGAAAUCAUCAUUCUAUCCCUGAUUUCUUGCCCAAUCGUUACAGAUAACGAUCCUAUUGAGAUAUCUACGAAUUUCUACCUUAUCGUUCCUCAUAGUUUUCUGUCUCCAUUUUUCUAUUUCAGCAACAUCUGCUGUUCGACAAAAGAAACCAUGGAACUCAAGAACGGAGGAGGUGUAGAAAUUGACGUUCAAGAGGGGUUGCGCGAAGUUGAAUUAUGACCAAAAGGACAAGGUAGUCCAUGCAGAAGGCAUUAAGCCAAGCUGAGGGAUCCAAGCUUGAACGUCGUCAACUUGUUGUUGAUUGGCUGAUAGUAUAAUUUAGUUUUGAGUUAGUUUAAUUAAAUUGAUAUUUUAUUGAAAUUUAUAGUACCUUUAUUGAAAGAAUUGGAUUCUAACACUUGGUUAUUAACAAUAGUAUAAGUUUUAUUUUUCA